CCUACGGGAGGCAGCAGUGGGGAAUAUUGGGCAAUGGACGCAAGUCUGACCCAGCAACGCCGCGUGAAGGAAGAAGGCUUUCGGGUUGUAAACUUCUUUUAAGGGGGAAGAGCAGAAGACGGUACCCCUUGAAUAAGCCACGGCUAACUACGUGCCAGCAGCCGCGGUAAAACGUAGGUGGCAAGCGUUGUCCGGAUUUACUGGGUGUAAAGGGCGCGUAGCCGGAGAGACAAGUCGGAUGUGAAAUCCAGGGGCUCAACCCGUGAACUGCUUUUGAAACUGUUUCCCUGGAGUGUCGGAGAGGUAAGGGGAAUUCCGAGGGUAGCGGGGAAAUGCGUAGAUAUAAGGAGGAAGACCAGUGGCGAAGGCGGAUUACUGGACUGUAACUGACGUGGAGGCGCGAAAGCGUGGGGAGCAAACAGGAUGAGAUACCCAUGUAGUC
rnacentral:rRNA from 1 species